UACCAGCACCCCGAGUGGUCGGGACGAUUAUUGGGCCUAAAGCAUCCGUAGCCGGUUCUGCAAGUCUCCCGUUAAAUCCAACUGCUCAACAGGUGGGCUGCGGAGGAUACUACAGAGCUAGGAGGCAGGAGAGGCAAGCGGUACUCAAUGGGUAGGGGUAAAAUCCGUUGAUCCAUUGAAGACCACCAGUGGCGAAGGCGGCUUGCCAGAAUGCGCUCGACGGUGAGGGAUGAAGCUGGGGGAGCAAACCGG
rnacentral:rRNA from 1 species